GAUGAAGAACGUAGCGAAAUGCGAUAAGUAAUGUGAAUUGCAGAAUUCAGUGUAUCAUCGAAUCUUUGAACGCACAUUGCGCCCGCCAGUAUUCUGGCGGGCAUGCCUGUCCGAGCGUCAUUUCAACCAUCAAGCCCCGGGCUUGUGUUGGGGACCUGCGUCCGACGCAGGCCCUGAAAACCAGUGGCGGGCUCGCUGUCCACACCGAGCGUAGUAACUAACCUCGCUAUGGAGUGGCGCGGGCGCCUGCCGUAAAACCCCCAAUUUCACAAGGUUGACCUCGGAUCAGGUAGGAAUACCCGCUGAACUUAAGCAUAUCAAUAAGCGGAGGA
rnacentral:misc_RNA from 1 species